rnacentral:tRNA from 1 species
AAUCUCAUGGCUCAAAUGGUUAGAGCAUCGACCUGAUACGUCGAAGGUUGAAGGUUCGAGUCCUUCUGAGAUUACAA